CUGGAAGUGGGGUGGACCUGGACCUUUUUGGUCCACAACUUCAUGCUGCUCAGGUCACCAGGAGGUUGGCAACAGUGUCUGGGCCCCCAGCCCCUGCCAGUAUCCACGCAGAGAACUGAAAGUAACCUCCGGCACCCACUACUUUUGCAGGAAAAGGGGUGUGGGAGAUGCUGACUUUGUGUUACCUCCCUGAAUGCUGCACAGAAGCCCCCCAGCCAAGCGCCUGCACUCAGCCCACAGCGCCUCCUGAGGGACACGGCCUGAGGCGGCGGGCAGGGGAGCAGGGCAGCCUGGCCAGAUGCUUCCCUGGGGCCUGUUUACACACAUCACAGAGCAGUGUUCAGUUCCAGAUGGGAGAAUGGCAAGCAGCCAGCACUUUUCCAGCCAGUCUUUUUUUUUUUUUUGUACCGGGGAUUGAACUUGGGUCCUUGCGCUUAGCAAGUCUUGAAAGAUAUUUUGAUGAAAGCAUGACCUUUUUUGCCUCCCAAAGCCUAGCCUUGCAUUAAACACUACUAAGAAAAAGGUUCCCAACUUUUAUACCAGCUUCCUCUUUCAAUCAGAGAAGGUAGAAGCUGAGUCACCCAUGCGAAACCCCCAGAAUCCCCUUGUGGAAGGUAAAACCCCUCCAUCCCCAACUCACAUGUGAAUGAUGACACCAGAGAAGUUAAAAAUGCUUCCUUUAUUACAUAAAGCCAGUAACUGCUACUUCUAAGACUGUGCAUUUCUCUUGUUCAAAUGUCAUGCCUGUGGUGUUAAGGACAAUCACAUCUGCGCAGUCACUAGGUACCAGCUCCCCACUCCACACAAGUGACACACUGCUCUAGGAAACAAAGUUCUCCUAGGCCCUGGAAGAAACACUCAAGUGUUCUUGCCAUCAUAUCAUACGGGGUGCUGCAGCUCUGAAGGAGACGCAGGUGUGAGAUGUCCUAGCCUACCUAGAUACUGCCGGUUGAAGCAUUUUCAUUAGAAAGCAGAGUACAGUUCCUGAGCGCUAAUUUGCAUUAGAAUUAGUCCCCAUCUUCUGAAGCCACACCACAAUUCCCAAGAUACAAGGUGAGAGCCUGCAGCCCCAGGUGCGGGGACAGCUGUGCCACUCGAGGCAGGCUUUGCAAGAUCAGGGUGAGUCACAGUAGAUGCGACUUCUGGGAGAACUAAAGGCUGCCUGAGACUCACUGCUGCUAGUGGGUUAGUGUGGGUACACGUUAGGGGAGGACAACCCAUUCUGUGUGGGUCAAGAAGAAUAAUUCUGGGCCAAAAUUAUAACCAGAUUGUAAUCAAUUUUCAAACAAAAGAAAGUAACUGCUGAGGUUAAUGAAAGACAGAAUGAUUCUCUUCAUAUGGCCUCUAUAUCUAUACUGUUUUGUGAACUGUUAUUAAAAAUCCUGAGCUUUAUUAAAAAUCCUGAGCUUUAACAAAAAUCUUUGUAAGUCAACUCAUCAAAACAGGCAUUUGGCCAGUAAGAAUUUCAUUUCACACCAAUUACACUUUGAUGCUAGGUUUAUUUAGGGCCGCGCCGUUUGCACAGGUUUAUAGAAUAUUUACUCAAAGAUGACAAGACAGCUCCCUCAGUGAGACCCUGGCAUAAAUGCAUCUGCUUUACUUAUGGAGCAAGAGGGUAACAUUAAACACAGAAGCUUUCGCUGUGGCACUGGAACGACACUACACGGGCACCCUUCAAGGCUACAAUCAAGGACCCACCCAGCUUUUCGGCAAUACAAGCUCGCUUGAGGUCUUCCGCCCAUUUGCUUGACAUUCGUGUUUGAUGCCUGAAAGGAAAAACAAUUCUAUUUAAAAUUAUGGCAGCAGCUUAUCUAUUUCUUUACAGUACUAUGUUUUUAAAGCUCAUGUCUAUAAACAGUGUUAUUUACAACCUUGCAAUACUACACAGAAAUGAGAAAUAUUAAUUGGUA
ensembl:lncRNA